rnacentral:rRNA from 1 species
GAUGAACGCUGGCGGCGUGCCUAAUACAUGCAAGUCGAGCGAACAGACGAGGAGCUUGCUCCUCUGACGUUAGCGGCGGACGGGUGAGUAACACGUGGAUAACCUACCUAUAAGACUGGGAUAACUUCGGGAAACCGGAGCUAGUACCGGAUAACAUGUUGAACCGCAUGGUUCAACAGUGAAAGACGGUCUUGCUGUCACUUAUAGAUGGAUCCGCGCCGCAUUAGCUAGUUGGUAAGGUAACGGCUUACCAAGGCAACGAUGUGUAGCCGACCUGAGAGGGUGAUCGGCCACACUGGAACUGAGACACGGUCCAGACUCCUACGGGAGGCAGCAGUAGGGAAUCUUCCGCAAUGGGCGAAAGCCUGACGGAGCAACGCCGCGUGAGUGAAGAAGGUCUUCGGAUCGUAAAACUCUGUUAUUAGGGAAGAACAAAUGUGUAAGUAACUAUGCACGUCUUGACGGUACCUAAUCAGAAAGCCACGGCUAACUACGUG